rnacentral:rRNA from 1 species
GUAUUAAAGGUGUUGCCUGCCCAGUGAAACAAUUUCAACGGCCGCGGUAUCCUAACCGUGCAAAGGUAGCGUAAUCACUUGUCUUUUAAAUAAAGACUUGUAUGAAAGGCUAAAUGAGGACGAAACUGUCUCUUAUGGUUGGCCAGUGAAACUGAUUUUCAAGUACAAAAGCUUGGAUGAACACAUAAGACGAGAAGACCCUGUGGAGCUUAAAACUACCCCUAUACUAACAAAUAGCACAAGUUUUAAGUUGGGGCGACUUCGGAACAAAACAAAACUUCCGAGCACAGAGCCACAAACUCUAACUAAGACCAACAAGUCAAAGAACAAGAAUGACCCAGUCAUACUGAACAACGAACCAAGUUACCCCAGGGAUAACAGCGCCAUCUUCUUCAAGAGUCCCUAUCGACAAGAAGGUUUACGACCUCGAUGUUGGAUCAGGACACCCAAAUGGUGCAGCAA